rnacentral:lncRNA from 1 species
AGCUCCCCACCCCACCAGGCUGCAAGCUGCCCUCAGCCCAGGACCCCGAGCGUGACCAGAUGUGAGGGUGCCUCGUGCCCCACAGUUCUAGCUCCCGGCAUGGGCUCCUGGCUUACUGGUCCUCUCCGUCCACCCAGCGUGGUGGAAAGAGGCAGGGGGCGGGACAAGGGGACAUCCUGUGGGACUCAGAGAGCCCAGAGCUGGGCUAACUGCCCUUGUGGCAAUCAGAGAAUGGAGCAGGGGCCACCGCCUCGUGUGGCUGGUGGAAGUGGACGCGCUGCCUGGUCGAGGGGAGGACUCCCAGGGUUGCUAGCCAGUUAGAGAUGGAUGGAGUGUAAGACGGUAGGAGAGGCUGUUGAAUCUCGCUGUCCUAUGCUGAACUCAACUCAGCUCUCCAAAUCAGGCAAGACUUUAGACCUGACACUUUCUCCCGCCCCCCUCUGCUGGCCCCACUCUUUCCCCGGGCAAAUUACCUUAGGAUGCGGUGUUAUUGUGUAGGGGGUCUAGAUAGGCAGACUUUGGAGCAUUGCUGGGGAAGUUAGCCUCUUGGAGCCUCAUUGUCCAUGGCUGGGGAGGAAGGCCAUGCCUGGGAGGUUGGACCACCCACUGUGCGUCCUGCUUGCCACAUGGGACUUGGGCUGAAUGGUUAAAGAUUCUUACAGAUUCGGAGGGUUCUAGUGCCUGCAUCUCACCUACUCGGAGUAAUUUCUUGGACUCUUUAUCUUUCAGAUUUCACUAUGAAGAGUUGUCAGCCUGAUAGCAUUUGACAAGUAUCAAUUUAGGGUCUCUGAUGGCAAGGUCCUGCAGGAAUGGACCACAACGGGAGCUUGAGACCCGCAGUGGGUCAGCAUUUUGAAAUGGGAAUGGCAGGCUCCCUACUUUCACUGUUGUUCGUUUUCAUUUGUUCCUCACUGUGGGAUAGGCACGUUAUACCUUCUUUCCAUCCUUCAUCUUACAGACUCCUCACGUCCACUGUAAGAGGCAGGUGGUACGAACUCUGUUAGCUGUGAAGUUAGGAAGCAGACCCCACAACCCCCUCACUUCUGACACCAGCUGCAGAGUCUGGGUCCCUAAGACCACCCUCAGGUUUAAUAAUUCUCUAGAAGGGCUCCCAGAGCUCAUGAGAGCUGUCACACUUAUGGUUAAUUUCAGGGAAAGGAAGCAGACUGGCCUCAGCCAUGGAAGAGGUGCACAGGACGGGGCCCAGGAGUGCCCGGACACGGAGCUCCCAGUUGUCCUCUCCCCAUGGACUCCUGGGCAGCCUUAGCUCCCCUGGCAGCGAUGUGACAGCAUGCACGGAGUGUGGCCAACCAGGGAAGCC